rfam:Entamoeba invadens IP1 unplaced genomic scaffold scaff_1105074726671, whole genome shotgun sequence.
GGGGAUAUAGUUCAACGGUAGAAUAGUUCCUUUCAACAGAUGAUUCUUGGAAAAGACGAUGGGUUCAACUCCUAUAAUCCCCA